rnacentral:lncRNA from 1 species
UAAAAUGAAGGGGCUGGGCCAGGCUGGUCCCUCCUGCCUUCGCUCUCUGCUGGUCGCGGUGGCCUGUAGCUCCUCCCUCGUUGUUCAGAUUCCCAGGCUGACAAAAAGGAGAAACAGCUUUUACUUGCAUCCAGGGCCAAUCAUCGCAGACCCAGACGUCUGCAGAGGGGAAAAUAAAAGAAGCAAAAACAGGCCCUGCUGUGAGGGACCACGAGGCAGUGCCAGGAUGAAAGAGUUGGAGUAACCUAGGUGAUUCUGAGUGAAUCAGUCAGGAGGCCUUCCUGGAGGGGGCUGAGGCCCCAGCUUGUGGCCACCACAACGUAUCAAGCUAUCUCCAGGGUUGGGCUCAGGACUCAGAGCUGACGCAGCUGGGGUGCCCCUUGGUUCUGGAGGAUGAGGCUCCUCCGCAGACGCCACAUGCCCCUGCGCCUGGCCAUGGUGGGCUGCGCCUUUGUGCUCUUCCUCUUCCUCCUGCAUAGGGAUGUGAGCAGCAGAGAGGAGGCCACAGAGAAGCCGUGGCUGAAGUCCCUGGUGAGCCGGAAGGAUCACGUCCUGGACCUCAUGCUGGAGGCCAUGAACAA